UACGUAGGGGGCAAGCGUUGUCCGGAAUCAUUGGGCGUAAAGCGCGUGUAGGCGGCUCGAUAAGUCUGCUGUGAAAGUUCAGGGCUCAACCCUGAAAUGCCGGUGGAAACUGUCGAGCUAGAGUCCGGAAGAGGUGAGUGGAAUUCCGGGUGUAGCGGUGGAAUGCGUAGAGAUCCGGAAGAACACCAGUGGCGAAGGCGGCCCGCUGGGCAGUGGCUGACGCUGAGGCGCGACAGCGUGGGGAGCAAACAGG
rnacentral:rRNA from 1 species